GAUGAAGAACGUAGCGAAAUGCGAUAACUAAUGUGAAUUGCAGAAUUCAGUGAAUCAUCGAGUCUUUGAACGCACAUUGCGCCCCCUGGUAUUCCGGGGGGCAUGCCUGUUCGAGCGUCAUUUCACCACUCAAGCCUCGCUUGGUAUUGGGCAACGCGGUCCGCCGCGUGCCUCAAAUCGACCGGCUGGGUCUUCUGUCCCCUAAGCGUUGUGGAAACUAUUCGCUAAAGGGUGUUCGGGAGGCUACGCCGUAAAACAACCCCAUUUCUAAGGUUGACCUCGGAUCAGGUAGGGAUACCCGCUGAACUUAAGCAUAUCAAUAAGCGGAGGA
rnacentral:misc_RNA from 1 species